rnacentral:rRNA from 1 species
AUGAGGGAAAUCCUCCACAUCCAGGGCGGCCAGUGCGGCAACCAGAUCGGGGCCAAGUUCUGGGAGGUGAUCUGCGACGAGCACGGCAUCGACCAGACCGGCAAGUACGCCGGCGACUCCGACCUCCAGCUCGAGCGCAUCAACGUCUACUACAACGAGGCCAGCGGCGGCCGCUUCGUGCCCCGCGCCGUCCUCAUGGACCUCGAGCCGGGGACCAUGGACUCCCUCCGCUCGGGGCCCUACGGCCAGAUCUUCCGCCCCGACAACUUCGUCUUCGGCCAGUCCGGCGCCGGCAACAACUGGGCCAAGGGCCACUACACCGAGGGCGCCGAGCUCAUCGACUCCGUCCUCGACGUCGUCCGCAAGGAGGCCGAGAACUGUGACUGCCUGCAAGGAUUUCAAGUUUGCCACUCUCUGGGAGGAGGAACUGGUUCUGGUAUGGGUACACUGCUCAUCUCCAAGAUCAGGGAGGAGUACCCAGAUAGGAUGAUGUUGACAUUCUCAGUCUUCCCAUCACCGAAGGUGUCUGACACUGUGGUGGAACCUUACAAUGCUACGCUCUCUGUACACCAACUUGUUGAGAAUGCUGAUGAGUGCAUGGUGCUUGACAAUGAGGCUCUCUACGACAUCUGCUUCCGCACUCUGAAGCUUGCUACACCCACAUUUGGUGAUCUGAACCAUCUUAUAUCUGCAACAAUGAGCGGUGUCACUUGCUGCCUCCGCUUCCCCGGUCAGCUGAACUCCGACCUCCGGAAACUCGCAGUCAACUUGAUCCCGUUCCCUCGCCUCCAUUUCUUCAUGGUUGGCUUUGCACCACUGACCUCAAGGGGUUCUCAGCAGUACCGUGCCCUCACUGUUCCUGAGUUGACCCAGCAGAUGUGGGACUCAAAGAACAUGAUGUGUGCUGCUGACCCGCGGCACGGCCGCUACCUCACAGCCUCUGCCAUGUUCCGUGGGAAGAUGAGCACCAAGGAGGUUGACGAGCAGAUGCUGAACGUCCAGAACAAGAACUCAUCAUACUUUGUGGAGUGGAUACCCAACAAUGUGAAGUCAAGCGUGUGUGACAUCCCUCCCACAGGCCUGUCAAUGUCGUCCACCUUUGUCGGCAACUCCACCUCCAUCCAGGAGAUGUUCCGCCGUGUGAGCGAGCAGUUCACUGCCAUGUUCAGGAGGAAGGCUUUCUUGCACUGGUACACCGGGGAGGGCAUGGAUGAGAUGGAGUUCACCGAGGCGGAGAGCAACAUGAACGAUCUGGUCGCUGAGUACCAGCAGUACCAGGAUGCCACAGCCGACGAGGAGGAAGAGUAUGACGAGGAGGAGGAAGAGGAGGCUGCCUAA